rnacentral:rRNA from 1 species
GACGAACGCUGGCGGCGUGCUUAACACAUGCAAGUCGAACGGAAAGGCGCUGAUUUUGUGGGGUGCUCGAGAGGCGAACGGGGGAGUAACACGUGAGGAACCUGCCCCUGAAUGAGGGGUAACAUCAGGAAACACGGGCUAAAAUAGGGUAUGAUAUCCUGCAGCGUGGUGGGGGAUGGAAAAUGUCGGCCGUUGUGGAUGGUUUAGCUGCUUACCCGCUUGAUGGGGGGGUAGGCGCUGACCAAGGCUUUGACGGGUAGGCCGCCUGAGAGCGUGGACGGCCACCUUGGUACUGAGAGACGGCCCAGAAGCCUACGGGACGCAGCAGUCGGGAAUCUUGCGCAACGGGCCGGCGCCUGAUACAGCAACGUCGCGAGCGGGAUGACCUCUUUCGGGUUGUAAACCACUUUCGACUGUGCCGAAGCCUUCGUGACGGUAAUUGGUCAAGAAGCACCGGCUAACUACGUG